UCAAGAAGAAGAGUUUACACAAACCCUGUUCCAUAUCGAUAUCUGUUCCAAAGUACCUGUGACAAGUAUUUCGUGUCAUCCCUAUACGUCAGUACUACGGCUGUUCUACGAACGUUCACCGGCAAGAAAUGAAAUUGGUUCAUAUUGACCGGCACAGAACGGAAAUGGUACCGGCCACCGGUUUUUAUAAAUGGAGGUUAGAACAAGUUCUUCUUCUCUGCUCGAUGGUUGUGGCACAAAUCAACACGAGGCCCUCCCCCAGGGCGUCUAUUUUCAUGCGUCUACGUGAGCACUCCCGGUCAAUUUGUGUAUUGCCGAUUGCCUAAAAUCGGUGAGAGCAAAUUCACCAGUCUAGGCCGUCUAGGCGAGUGACAAUUCACAUGUGUGAGAAUUUUAUGAAAUUGUACCAAUUUUUAGCUUAUUUCUCAAUUUAGUUUUCAUUAGAUUAACCCAUGAUACCGAUGAAUACAUGAAUGUAUUCAUUGUAUCAUGAGAUUAACCUGUGAAAAUAGAAAAUUUUAGAUAACCGAUGAGAAUACAUGAAUGUAUUCAUUGUAUCAUGAGAUUAACCUGUGAAAAUAUCGGUUCAACUUGGCUGAUGAGUGAGGUAGAAUAAGCAUGUUACAAAUAAAAUUGGAAACACGAAUGUAUCAGCUCCAUAUUUCAAUAUUUAUACUUGGCUCCAAAACUCUUCAAUAUUAUCCCAAUUUUUUUAAAUUUCUUCAACAUUUCGCAACAGACGUCAUUCUGUGUCCAGACCUUCUAAUUCACUAUCAUUUAUUAAAUUUGGAAAUAUCAUUGCAACAUCAGAAAUAGAUUGUA